rnacentral:rRNA from 1 species
AGAGUUUGAUCAUGGCUCAGAACGAACGCUGGCGGCGUGCCUAACACAUGCAAGUCGAACGAGAAAGGGAUCUUCGGAUCCUGAGUAGAGUGGCGCACGGGUGAGUAACACGUGGAUAACCUACCCUAUGAUCUGGGAUAACACUUCGAAAGGGGUGCUAAUACCGGAUAAGCCCACGGCUUCUUCGGAAGAUGUGGGAAAAGAUUUAUCGUCAUAGGAUGGGUCCGCGGUCCAUUAGCUAGUUGGUGGGGUAAUGGCCCACCAAGGCAACGAUGGAUAGCUGGUCUGAGAGGAUGAUCAGCCACACUGGAACUGAGACACGGUCCAGACUCCUACGGGAGGCAGC